rnacentral:rRNA from 1 species
CACGUAGGGGGCGAGCGUUGUCCGGAUUUAUUGGGCGUAAAGAGCUCGUAGGCGGUUCGGUAAGUCGGGUGUGAAACCUCCAGGCUCAACCCGGAGACGCCACCUGAUACUGCUGUGACUAGAGUCCGGUAGGGGAGUGUGGAACUCCUGGUGUAGCGGUGAAAUGCGCAGAUAUCAGGAAGAACACCAGCGGCGAAGGCGGCACUCUGGGCCGGUACUGACGCUGAGGAGCGAAAGCGUGGGUAGCAAACAGGAUUAGAUACCCGCGUA